GUCCAGCUGUUCUUACUGCCUGUUCUAGUCACAGAAAUAGAGUUUUUCUGCAAGAGCAAAGCCAAGUCAUGGGUAGCAAGGAGGAAGACGCAAUACUAGCAGUGGUUUCUUUUGAUCUAUCUCUGCUUCUUGGAAACUGGCAGUACAGUUUAGCAAUGAUUUUGGGAGUAAGCCCUGAAGGUAUAGCCAAAAGCCUGAUUUUCCAGCCCUUCCUACAAUGCUAUUUUGCUUAAUACAAUACACAUGAAGGUUUGU